CCUACUGGGGGCAGCAGUGGGGAAUAUUGGACAAUGGGGGCAACCCUGAUCCAGCCAUGCCGCGUGUGUGAAGAAGGCCCUCGGGUUGUAAAGCACUUUCAGUGAGGAAGAACGCCUGGUGGUUAAUACCCAUCAGGAAAGACAUCACUCCCAGAAGAAGCACCGGCUAACUCCGUGCCAGCAGCCGCGGUAAUACGGAGGUGGCGAGCGUUAAUCGGAAUUACUGGGCGUAAAGCGCGCGUAGGUGGCUUGAUAAGCCGGUUGUGAAAGCCCCGGGCUCAACCUGGGAACGGCAUCCGGAACUGUCAAGCUAGAGUGCAGGAGAGGAAGGUAGAAUUCCCGGUGUAGCGGUGAAAUGCGUAGAGAUCGGGAGGAAUACCAGUGGCGAAGGCGGCCUUCUGGACUGACACUGACACUGAGGUGCGAAAGCGUGGGUAGCAAACAGGAUUAGAUACCCUAGUAGUC
rnacentral:rRNA from 1 species